UACAGGAGGGGCGAGCGUUAUUCUUCAUUACUGGGCGUAUAGUGUAGGUAGGUGGAAAAGGAAGUCUUGUAUGAAAGGCUACUGUGGGUAGUUAGUACGAGAAACUUUUUUUCUUGAGUUUAAUUGGGGAUGGUAGAAUUCUUGAUGUAGUGUUAAUAUACUUAGAUAUCAAGAGGAAUUUCGUUGGCGAAAGCAGCUAUCCAAUUUAAUACUGACGCUGAGCUACGAAAGCAUGGGUAUCGAACGGG
rnacentral:misc_RNA from 1 species